UACUUCAAGGUACAACAUUAGACUGUAACUCUAAAGAAUGAAGGUUCGAGUCCUUC
rnacentral:tRNA from 1 species